rnacentral:rRNA from 1 species
AGUGAACGCUGGCGGUAGGCCUAACACAUGCAAGUCGAACGGCAGCACAGUAAGAGCUUGCUCUUACGGGUGGCGAGUGGCGGACGGGUGAGGAAUACAUCGGAAUCUACUUUUUCGUGGGGGAUAACGUAGGGAAACUUACGCUAAUACCGCAUACGACCUACGGGUGAAAGCAGGGGAUCUUCGGACCUUGCGCGAUUGAAUGAGCCGAUGUCGGAUUAGCUAGUUGGCGGGGUAAAGGCCCACCAAGGCGACGAUCCGUAGCUGGUCUGAGAGGAUGAUCAGCCACACUGGAACUGAGACACGGUCCAGACUCCUACGGGAGGCAGCAGUGGGGAAUAUUGGACAAUGGGCGCAAGCCUGAUCCAGCAAUACCGCGUGGGUGAAGAAGGCCUUCGGGUUGUAAAGCCCUUUUGUUGGGAAAGAAAAGCAGCAGGUUAAUACCCCGCUGCUCUGACGGUACCCAAAGAAUAAGCACCGGCUAACUACGUG